UGAGGAAUAUUGGUCAAUGGGCGAGAGCCUGAACCAGCCAAGUAGCGUGCAGGAUGACGGCCCUAUGGGUUGUAAACUGCUUUUAUGUGGGGAUAAAGUGCGUGACGUGUCAUGCAUUGCAGGUACCACAUGAAUAAGGACCGGCUAAUUCCGUGCCAGCAGCCGCGGUAAUACGGAAGGUCCGGGCGUUAUCCGGAUUUAUUGGGUUUAAAGGGAGCGUAGGCCGUUUGGUAAGCGUGUUGUGAAAUGUAGGAGCUCAACUUCUAGAUUGCAGCGCGAACUGUCAGACUUGAGUGCGCACAACGUAGGCGGAAUUCAUGGUGUAGCGGUGAAAUGCUUAGAUAUCAUGAAGAACUCCGAUUGCGAAGGCAGCUUACGGGAGCGCAACUGACGCUGAAGCUUGAAGGUGCGGGUAUCGAACAGG
rnacentral:rRNA from 1 species